UACAGAGGGUGCAAGCGUUUGUUCGGAAUUAUUGGGCGUAAAGCGCGUGUAGGCGGCUUUGCAAGUCGGGUGUGAAAGCCCUCAGCUCAACUGAGGAAGUGCGCCCGAAACUGCAGAGCUUGAGUGCCGGAGAGGGUGGCGGAAUUCCCCAAGUAGAGGUGAAAUUCGUAGAUAUCAGGAGGAACACCGGUGGCGAAGGCGACCACCUGGACGGAGACUGACGCUGAGGCGCGAAAGCGUGGGGAGCAAACAGGG
rnacentral:rRNA from 1 species